rnacentral:tRNA from 1 species
GCGGGUGUAGCUCAGUUGGUUAGAGCGCUAGGUUGUGGCCCCAGAGGUCGCCGGUUCAAAUCCGGUCACUCGCCCCA